CAGAAACUACAAAGGAAGUUAGACGGGGGCCCGGCACAAGCGGUGGAGUAUGUGGUUUAAUUCGAUGCAACGCGAAGAACCUUACCUGGUCUUGACAUCCCGGAGACCCUUAGGAAACUAGGGGUGCUUCCAUCUGGAAGAAUCUGGAGACAGGUGCUGCAUGGCUGUCGUCAGCUCGUGUCGUGAGAUGUUGGGUUAAGUCCCGCAACGAGCGCAACCCUUGCCUUUAGUUGCCAGCAGUUCGGCUGGGCACUCUAAAGGGACUGCCGGUGUUAAACCGGAGGAAGGUGGGGAUGACGUCAAGUCCUCAUGGCCUUUAUGACCAGGGCUACACACGUACUACAAUGGCCGAUACAAAGGGCAGCGACACUGCGAGGUGAAGCCAAUCCCGUAAAAUCGGUCUCAGUCCGGAUUGGAGUCUGCAACUCGACUCCAUGAAGUUGGAAUCGCUAGUAAUCGUGGAUCAGCAUGCCACGGUGAAUACGUUCCCGGGCCUU
rnacentral:rRNA from 1 species